AUACGGAGGGGGUUAGCGUUGUUCGGAAUUACUGGGCGUAAAGCGCACGUAGGCGGAUUAAAAAGUUAGAGGUGAAAUCCCAGGGCUCAACCCUGGAACUGCCUUUAAAACUAGUAGUCUAGAGUUCGAGAGAGGUGAGUGGAAUUCCAAGUGUAGAGGUGAAAUUCGUAGAUAUUUGGAGGAACACCAGUGGCGAAGGCGACUCACUGGCUCGAUACUGACGCUGAGGUGCGAAAGCGUGGGGAGCAAACAGGAUUAGAAACCCUAGUAGUCC
rnacentral:rRNA from 1 species